UGGUAGCCUUGCAGGGCUGGCACUCGGGCCAUACGGAGUUUUGCAUUACCACCCAGCUUCUGGGGUGUGGCUGGAGCAGGACUGAAGAUCCCAAGAAUCUAAGACUUUCUGGUUCUCCAGAAAAACAAAAUAAAUACAUGGAAUUGGCUCACAUGCGUAUGAAGAUGGAAAAGUCCCACAAUCUGCAGUUGGCAAACUAGAGACCCAGAGGAGCUGAUGGUGUGGUCCAGGUCAAGUCCAAUUAUGACUGCAGCAGAAGACUGAUGUCCCAGGUCAGAGAAGUGGACAAAGAAAAUUUCCCCUUAUCCUACCUUUUUUUUUCUUUAUUCAGUCAUCCAGCUGAUUGGAUGAGGACCAACCACGUUGAGAAAGGCCAUCUGCUUUACUCGGCCUACCAAGUUGAAUAUGAAUCUCAUCCAGUAACACCCUAACAGACACACCCAGAAUGUUUAUCCAAAUGUCUGGGCAUCCCAUGGUCCAGUCAAGUUGACACAUAAAAUUAACUAUCACAAGUCCAUUCCUUGUCUACUUGACACCCAUACACAUCUCCUUAAACCAUACUUAAUUUCCGAAUAUAGACAAUAACAAGGCAUGUCUGAUACAACUAUUCUACCUACCAUUUAAAAUGCACUAACCCAUUCCCCAGAAGAAAAGAUAAAGUUCUUAAUUGAUGUUUACUCUUGCUCUGAUAUCCUUAACUUAAA